rnacentral:rRNA from 1 species
CUUCGGUACAUCGGUGACAGGUGGUGCAUGGUUGUCGUCAGCUCGUGUCGUGAGAUGUUGGUUAAGUCCGCAACGAGCGCAACCCCUAUUGUUAGUUGCCAUCAUUCAGUUGGGCACUCUAGCGAGACUGCCGGUAAUAAACCGGAGGAAGGUGGGGAUGACGUCAAAUCAUCAUGCCCCUUAUGACCUGGGCUACACACGUGCUACAAUGGUUGGUACAACGAGUUGCGAGUCGGUGACGGCGAGCUAAUCUCUUAAAGCCAAUCUCAGUUCGGAUUGUAGGCUGCAACUCGCCUACAUGAAGUCGGAAUCGCUAGUAAUCGCGGAUCAGCACGCCGCGGUGAAUACGUUCCCGGGCCUU